CAGUUAUGUUACAUCUAAUUGUGAUUGUCGUCUGGGCUGACUUGGGCCAACCUUGCUUACAUUCACUCAUGCGCUAAACGUUGUGUUCCGUGAAUAUUCCAGAAUUAGGGCUUCGUCGUUGUUACCUUCCUCACAUAAUCAAACCGCCAUAUUUUGUUUUCUGAUCUUAAAAAAACCGUUCCUCUUCUCAUCUCUACACUUCACCUUCCCGUAUCUCUUGACCUCCCUUUAGGUUCGAUGUUUUGCUUUAAUUCACGAGUUAUUGUUACUCACAUCAAUCCCAGAUCUCGCCGCUUCCGUUUACUUCGCGUUCAAUCUAUAUAUAUCAGCUUCUCGAGAGGAUGAUUGCCCCUCGAAAUCUUUGUCAGUUUAUCAUUUUCUAAACUCUAGAAAGUUUGUCAGAUGUGGCUUCCUCUGAUGUUGUUCUCGCUUACUCCACCUUCGAUGCUCUCCGACUGGGUAGAUCUGCCCAGAUCAUUGUUGGUCGUCUCCUCCGUUUCGGGGACUCGAAAAAUAUCAAGAAGCAAGGUGAAUUCAUGGGCAUCACUCUCCUCUUCCUUGACGAGAAGAAUUCCGUCAUACAUGGAUUCAUUCCUGCUGGUCGCGCUCCUUAUUACCGUCCGUCCUUGCGAGUGGGUUCAGUUGUCAGAGUCUCCCGCUUUGAAGUUGCAAGAUGUAUAAAUAUGUAGAAGAUUACGGAUCACCUCUGCCUCAGCUCAACCCCGGCGACUAGAGUUUUUUUCAGCCCCGACCUUCCAGACACCAAACAAUUCAAAUUGAGCUUAAGUGGUGCAGGAGGUGAGCACUUCAACUGGUUGGACGACAACGCGGCAAUCAGUAACAAACAACUUUGCUCGGUUGGAGAUCUCAACAUGUUCCUCUCCAGCUCUACCACCCAGGAAGGUUAUUUUAUCUACAAAGCCCGGAUUGUUGAGGUCUUGACCCAAAAUGGAUGGAACUAUCUCUCUUGCAUUCAUUGCAGCAAAGAAAUUGAGCAAUCUGGCGCAACUCUCCACUGCAACCGAUGCUUUAAUUCCAAUAUCACCGGUGUUGUGAGGUGAAAAUUCAACGAUCUCAUUUUUUUUAAAAAAAUUACUAUUAUCUACAUUCAGAUCAACCAAGCUAUCGCGGAUAACAUGUACCGUGUAGAAUUAUUGGUUGAUGAUGGGAAUAAUUAUGCCACUGUUGUGGUGUUAAACAAGGAGAUGCUCAAACUCACUAAGCAAGACGCAGCUACUCUGCUUCUUAAUGAGGUCAAUAUUGGUGGCGACGGGAAACUCCCUCAAUGCAUUGAGGAACUUGAAGGGCAGACAUUUAUUUUUCAUAUACAUGUCUCGCCCAACAAUUCUGUCUUGCCCAGCAAUUCUGCUUCUUCCCACUGCCCGUUCACAGUCUCUGCAAUCAGUGGGAAGAUUACUACAGAGGAUUUCAACAACAGUGAAACCCCAUAUGCUGUAAGGGAAUUCAGCGAAGCAUCCACUUCCGCUUCUCCCAUAAACACGUCAACCGUUGAAGUUGAACAAGGUGGACGCAAAGACGCACGUGAGUGAGUCUUUGAAGGAACCAAAACAUCAACCCAACUCUGCUUACCACUUCUUAGCUAUUUCAAUAUUACUAUGCAUUUACUCUUUCAGACUUUCUAAAUUUGCUCUUUUCUCAGUUUUUUUUCCAAAAAAAAAAAAAAACAUUUCCUUCAUUGUAUCGCAUAUGAGGAUCACAAUUCUCAAGUUUAAUAGUUUGACACGGGUUGACGUCAUAUUUAUAAUAGUUGUUUCAAUUUUUUUUUAAAAAUGCCACAACCCAUGCAGUUUUAACGUAAAGUCCACAUAGUUCUCACAUUACAAUAUUACAUUCCUAUAAUAGCAGAUAUCACACGUUAUACAUGUAUAACUACUUAGCAUUACAAAAAAUCUCUUCACUCUCCUUCUUCUUAUACUUCUCUUCACUCUUCUUCUUCUACAACACUCCACCUCCGUCAACAUUUCCGAACUACAACUGCUCAAGUGUUCACAAAAUUCCCGCGCGAGCGCGGGACUCCGCCCCUAGUAUAUUAUAUAAGACAGUUUCGAAGUCGGUGACAACCUCUUCAUCAUUUGCAUUGCGUUUUUGGUCUUUAGAUUUUUUGCUUCUCUUUAUUUUGGCCCGAACCUUCUAUUCUAAACAGAUCCUUUUUUUAUUUCCUCCUCAAACUUUCUAAUUGUACCUACAAACUAUAUUAUAUGCAAAUAACCACAUAAAUGCAAUAUAUACACUUAAAUAAAAUAUGAAAUGAUUAAAAUUGAGCUAAAAUAAUAUGCAUCAUAAAAUGUCAUAAAAAUGAAAAAUACAAUAAAAUUCUAUAUAUUUUGCUUAGUUGAUAACCCAAUUUUAGAAAUUUGUUAGUUUAGACUAAUGUCAAUAUAAUGAGUAUGUUUUGCAAUUUUAAUCUAUCCUAUUAAAACUAAAGUAAAAUUAAGAAUUACCUUAUUUCAAGUGUAAUAUUACUCUUUAUGCCACAGGUCUUCUCAUCAUUUAACAUCUUCACAUAAACCGGUCUAUUUCAAUUCAAAUAUAUCUGUGGAAAUCUUCAUUUGACAUAACCAAUCAAAACUCGGAUGAAUGAAAACUCGGAUUGAUCUCGGUUUGUUCUCCUACUGCCGCAAAAAGAAAAUCAAUUACUCCCCUACUACCUCAAAAAUGGGUACAACUCAAAAACGGGUACAACUACUUAUUAUUAAAAGA